GGCUUGGUGGUGUAAUGGUAAUGCGCUCCUGUAACUAUAUGGAACAUUCACAUAUUGUUUGACGGAAAGUCCAGAGUUCGAUUCUCCGUCAAGCCA